rnacentral:misc_RNA from 1 species
GUGAAUCAUCGAAUUUUUGAACGCAAAUUGCACUCCCUGGUAUUCCGGAGAGUAUGCCUGUUUGAGGGUCAGUUUAAAUAAAAAUCGGUGUGGUUGCUGCUUUUCGUGGUGACGCCCCGGAUAUGGAUCGUCCUGCCUUCGGUUAAGUGACGUAAAAUUUUGCAUGAAUUUUUUCGAACGUUAUUAAAUGAUCUUACGUACGUUUACGAUGUCGAAUA